UGGGGAAUAUUGCACAAUGGGCGCAAGCCUGAUGCAGCCAUGCCGCGUGUAUGAAGAAGGCCUUCGGGUUGUAAAGUACUUUCAGCGGGGAGGAAGGGAGUAAAGUUAAUACCUUUGCUCAUUGACGUCACCCGCAGAAGAAGCACCGGCUAACUCCGUGCCAGCAGCCGCGGUAAUACGGAGGGUGCAAGCGUUAAUCGGAAUUACUGGGCGUAAAGCGCACGCAGGCGGUUUGUUAAGUCAGAUGUGAAAUCCCCGGGCUCAACCUGGGAACUGCAUCUGAUACUGGCAAGCUUGAGUCUCGUAGAGGGGGGUAGAAUUCCAGGUGUAGCGGUGAAAUGCGUAGAGAUCUGGAGGAAUACCGGUGGCGAAGGCGGCCCCCUGGACGAAGACUGACGCUCAGGUGCGAAAGCGUGGGGAGCAAACAGG
rnacentral:rRNA from 1 species